rnacentral:rRNA from 1 species
AAGGCGACGACGGGUAGCCGGCCUGAGAGGGCGACCGGCCACACUGGGACUGAGACACGGCCCAGACUCCUACGGGAGGCAGCAGUGGGGAAUAUUGCGCAAUGGGCGAAAGCCUGACGCAGCGACGCCGCGUGAGGGAUGAAGGCCUUCGGGUUGUAAACCUCUUUCAGCAGGGAAGAAGCGCAAGUGACGGUACCUGCAGAAGAAGCACCGGCUAACUACGUGCCAGCAGCCGCGGUAAUACGUAGGGUGCAAGCGUUGUCCGGAAUUAUUGGGCGUAAAGAGCUCGUAGGCGGUCUGUCGCGUCUGCUGUGAAAACCCAGGGCUUAACCCUGGGCCUGCAGUGGGUACGGGCAGACUAGAGUGCGGUAGGGGAGAUCGGAAUUCCUGGUGUAGCGGUGAAAUGCGCAGAUAUCAGGAGGAACACCGGUGGCGAAGGCGGAUCUCUGGGCCGUAACUGACGCUGAGGAGCGAAAGCAUGGGGAGCGAACAGGAUUAGAUACCCUGGUAGUCCAUGCCGUAAACGUUGGGCGCUAGGUGUGGGGCUCAUUCCACGAGUUCCGUGCCGCAGCAAACGCAUUAAGCGCCCCGCCUGGGGAGUACGGCCGCAAGGCUAAAACUCAAAGGAAUUGACGGGGGCCCGCACAAGCGGCGGAGCAUGCGGAUUAAUUCGAUGCAACGCGAAGAACCUUACCAAGGCUUGACAUACAGAGUAAUCCGGCAGAAACGUCGGGUCCGCAAGGGAUUCUGUACAGGUGGUGCAUGGUUGUCGUCAGCUCGUGUCGUGAGAUGUUGGGUUAAGUCCCGCAACGAGCGCAACCCUCGUUCUAUGUUGCCAGCACGUAAUGGUGGGGACUCAUAGGAGACUGCCGGGGUCAACUCGGAGGAAGGUGGGGAUGACGUCAAAUCAUCAUGCCCCUUAUGUCUUGGGCUUCACGCAUGCUACAAUGGCCAGUACAAAGGGCUGCGAGACCGCAAGGUGGAGCGAAUCCCAAAAAACUGGUCUCAGUUCGGAUUGGGGUCUGCAACUCGACCCCAUGAAGUCGGAGUCGCUAGUAAUCGCAGAUCAGCAACGCUGCGGUGAAUACGUUCCCGGGCCU